rnacentral:rRNA from 1 species
UACGUAGGAGGCGAGCGUUGUCCGGAAUUAUUGGGCGUAAAGAGCUCGUAGGCGGUCUGUCACGCGGCUGUUGAAAACCCGAGGCUCAACCUCGGGCCUGCAGUCGAUACGGGCAAACUAGAGUACUGCAGGGGAGACUGGAAUUCCUGGUGUAGCGGUGAAAUGCGCAGAUAUCAGGAGGAACACCGGUGGGCGAAGGCGGGUCUCUGGGCAGUAACUG